AUUGAACGCUGGCGGCAGGCCUAACACAUGCAAGUCGAACGGUAACAGGAAACAGCUUGCUGUUUCGCUGACGAGUGGCGGACGGGUGAGUAAUGUCUGGGAAACUGCCUGAUGGAGGGGGAUAACUACUGGAAACGGUAGCUAAUACCGCAUAACGUCGCAAGACCAAAGAGGGGGACCCUCGGGCCUCUUGCCAUCGGCUGUGCCCAGAUGGGAUUAGCGUGUUGGUGGGGUAACGGCUCACCAAGGCGACGAUCCCUAGCUGGUCUGAGAGGAUGACCAGCCACACUGGAACUGAGACACGGUCCAGACUCCUACGGGAGGCAGCAGUGGGGAAUAUUGCACAAUGGGCGCAAGCCUGAUGCAGCCAUGCCGCGUGUAUGAAGAAGGCCUUCGGGUUGUAAAGUACUUUCAGCGGGGAGGAAGGGAGUAAAGUUAAUACCUUUGCUCAUUGACGUUACCCGCAGAAGAAGCACCGGCUAACUCCGUG
rnacentral:rRNA from 1 species